CUACCUUGUUGCUUUGGCGGGACCGCUCGGUCUCGAGCCGCUGGGGAUUCGUCCCAGGCGAGCGCCCGCCAGAGUUAAACCAAACUCUUGUUAUUUAACCGGUCGUCUGAGUUAAAAUUUUGAAUAAAUCAAAACUUUCAACAACGGAUCUCUUGGUUCUCGCAUCGAUGAAGAACGCAGCGAAAUGCGAUAAGUAAUGUGAAUUGCAGAAUUCAGUGAAUCAUCGAAUCUUUGAACGCACAUUGCGCCCCUUGGUAUUCCGAGGGGCAUGCCUGUUCGAGCGUCAUUACACCACUCAAGCUAUGCUUGGUAUUGGGCGUCGUCCUUAGUUGGGCGCGCCUUAAAGACCUCGGCGAGGCCACUCCGGCUUUAGGCGUAGUAGAAUUUAUUCGAACGUCUGUCAAAGGAGAGGAACUCUGCCGACUGAAACCUUUAUUUUUCUAGGUUGACCUCGGAUCAGGUAGGGAUACCCGCUGAACUUAAGCAUAUC
rnacentral:rRNA from 1 species